rnacentral:piRNA from 1 species
UUAAUCUCUUAGGAACCUCCGCUC